rnacentral:rRNA from 1 species
GAUGAACGCUGGCGGCGUGCCUAAUACAUGCAAGUCGAGCGAACGGACGAGAAGCUUGCUUCUCUGAUGUUAGCGGCGGACGGGUGAGUAACACGUGGAUAACCUACCUAUAAGACUGGGAUAACUUCGGGAAACCGUAGCUAAUACCGGAUAAUAUUUUGAACCGCAUGGUUCAAAAGUGAAAGACGGUCUUGCUGUCACUUAUAGAUGGAUCCGCGCUGCAUUAGAUAGUUGGUAAGGUAACGGCUUACCAAGGCAACGAUGCAUAGCCGACCUGAGAGGGUGAUCGGCCACACUGGAACUGAGACACGGUCCAGACUCCUACGGGAGGCAGCAGUAGGGAAUCUUCCGCAAUGGGCGAAAGCCUGACGGAGCAACGCCGCGUGAGUGAUGAAGGUCUUCGGAUCGUAAAACUCUGUUAUUAGGGAAGAACAUAUGUGUAAGUAACUGUGCACAUCUUGACGGUACCUAAUCAGAAAGCCACGGCUAACUACGU